UACGGAGGGGUUAGCGUUGUUCGGAAUUACUGGGCGUAAAGCGCGCGUAGGCGGACUAUUAAGUCAGGGUGAAAUCCCGGGCUCAACCCCGGAACUGCCUUUGAUACUGGUAGUCUUGAGUUCGAGAGAGGUGAGUGGAACUCCGAGUGUAGAGGUGAAAUUCGUAGAUAUUCGGAAGAACACCAGUGGCGAAGGCGCUCACUGGCUCGAUACUGACGCUGAGGUGCGAAAGUGUGGGAGCAAACAGGAUUAGAUACCCCGGUAGUC
rnacentral:rRNA from 1 species